GUGGGUUCAGCUCUGAGGCCUGAAGUUUCGACAGCCUUUUAUUAUUUUAUGUGCUACUGUGCAUUUCUCUCUCAUAUCAAUCUUCAAUCAAUCAGUGCUCUCUCUUAUUUGCGCUGUUAUUCACGAAAUUUGUUAAAUUAAAUCAAAUGUGCACAGUUGCCCGUCUAGCCUAAAUUCAGCCAGUCGGCUAAGACAUAUUAGGUGUCUAAAUUUUGCUUUUUUAGUUGAUUUUUUACCAAAGAAAGAUGAGGAUAAUAGGGCUAAUAGAUAGUUAAAGCUUUACGUCUCCAAUUAGCAUGGUAUGUAUAGCUUUGUAUCAGUUUCAAAACCACAAUUUAAAGGGAUAUAUUAUAAACACCCCAAGCUCAAAAAAACUUACUCGAUCAGUUCAAGAUGACCGGAAUUAUGGUCGUUUUUUUUGAGAACCUCAGACAGUACACAGCAGGUUUAGCCAGCAGACUUCGUCUGAAGGAGGGAUCUAUACCUACUGUCCGUGGCAAGUCAGUAGAUGAGACAGAUAUCACAGAAGCUGUUCAGACUAUUGUCACAUCACACAAGAAGCCAACAGAUGCUUAUACAGCAAAAUAUAGCCUUGAUGUGUCUAAGCCAUAUAUUUCUUUUUUUUUUUUUCCUGUACUUUGUGUUUUUUGUUUUCUUGAGGUCUGUUUAUGAACACUGUGUCUGUUUUUACUGUUUUGAGGUGUACCAAAAACUCUCAUAAAUCUUUCUACAUGCCCAUUUCCCAACCUCCCAAUCUCUUCAGGCCUUAUAAUUAAACUGUUUUUUCUUUCUGGAACUUUAAAGCAAAACUCAUAUAUAUGUAAAUGACAUAUGUUCUGAUUGGUUGCCCCAUAUUGUGCCAGACCAGACUAACACAAUCAUGACAAAACAAAACUAUGAAUAAGAGGCAGCUCUAGACACUAUAUGGCCAAAUGUUUGGGUACAACCCUUCUAAUGAAGGUUUAAUUUAACUACUUUGAUUAAAGUAAAAAAAAGUCCCUGUAAAGAUGUAUUUCCAAAAGAAUAGGGCUCCAAGUUGUCCUACUCUGUAAAAUUACUAGACAUUUUUAAAAAAAUGACUGUUGUACUGUUACAGUUACAGAAAAUCUGUUAAUCUGUUUUUUAUAUAUAUAUAUAAAAUGACAUGAACCAUUGUGAUACACAAAGAAAUAUUGUCAUUUUAAUAUGGUUUCCCUAAAAAAAAGCACAUUUUUAGGAAUGAUGGCGCUCCAUUCAGUACUUUUGAGUACUUUUGAGUCGGGGAUGAGGUUGAGUAGUGAUCAUCCAACAUCCUGACUACCUCUCAACCACUCUGACUUGCACAAACAUUGGUAAAUGCAGUCAGUUUCUGUCUCAAUGCUUUUGUUGAUAAAGUGUAUAUGGAAAAAGUGUUGUGACAAAAUACACAAGGAUUGUUUUAAGGAUUGUUUUUAAAAAAUGAUUCUUUUUUUUUUUUUUCAAUUUACUUGCUAUAGAUGGACUUAACAGGUGUCUGCUUGUGUUUUGUCUGUGAACUCCGGACUUCUCAUGCAGUCCAAAACAACUGGAUUGGAUAUUCUGGAUAAAUUGGAUAAUUUAAAUUGUCCCAGUGUUUGAGAAUGUACGUAUUUACAUUUACAUUAAGCUCAUAUAUGGAUUGGCACUCUGUACUGGGCCACGUCCUUCAGGUGCAAUCCUCCAGGCGGGCGGUUGUUUCCGGUUGAGAGUACGCUGUGCACAAUCGGCAGUGGAAAUUAAUUUAUUCCUUCUACAGACUUUUUAACUUACACAGCAAAUGUACUGUUAGGAAACAUUGUUAGUGUUUACUUAGCUCUCCUAGAUUUAGUGUUAGUGUAGCACUAACAAAUUUACUAUGUUGUAAAACUGUGUUAACACACUAAAUCAAUCUCAUUAAUAAAAAUAAAUAAAAGAAAUGUCA
rnacentral:lncRNA from 1 species